UACGAAGGGGGGCUAGCGUUGCUCGGAAUGACUGGGCGUAAAGGGCGCGUAGGCGGUUCGUACAGUUGGGUGUGAAAUUCCUGGGCUUAACCUGGGGGCUGCACCCAAUACGUGCGGGCUUGAGUGUGGAAGAGGGUCGUGGAAUUCCCAGUGUAGAGGUGAAAUUCGUAGAUAUUGGGAAGAACACCGGUGGCGAAGGCGGCGACCUGGUCCAUUACUGACGCUGAGGCGCGAAAGCGUGGGGAGCAAACAGG
rnacentral:rRNA from 1 species